rnacentral:misc_RNA from 1 species
UUAUGGUGAAUCCUAAUACAAUCUCGUUCUGCCCAACAGAACUAGGUACAAAAGUAAGGCCACAAUUGUAGUUCCCAUAUGAACAUAGAUAAAGAGCUCUACUACUGCCCCACGCUGAGAAAACCCAUUAUGAUAAGAUGGCCAUGAUUGAAUAGACCUUGCUGAAAUUGUGCUAAAGGAAUUCCUGAACAUAAUUCAAUUAUCCAAUGAAAGAAAAAAAAUGAAAUUCAACUUGAACAAAGCUAUGGUAAAAUAUGUUGACAUUUCAUUGAUUUGACAAUAUUCAAUUGGCCUGUCACCAAAAUCGGCUACAAGAGAAUAAAUAUACAAGGGUAAAAGAUAGGCCCCGACCAAAAUUCAAAAUAAUAAUAAUAAUAAUAA